rnacentral:tRNA from 1 species
AAGAUACUAGUAAUAAAAAUUACACUGCCUUGUCAAGGCAGAGUUGCUGGUUAAACCCCUGCGUGUCUUA